GGGCCCGUGGUCUAGUCAGGAUUAAGACGCUGGCCUGCGGAGCCGGAGGUCCGGGGUUCAAAUCCCCGCGGGCCCGCCA
rnacentral:tRNA from 1 species